rnacentral:tRNA from 2 species
GGUCCGUUGGUCAAGCGGUUAAGACACCGCCCUUUCACGGCGGUAACACGGGUUCGAAUCCCGUACGGGUCA